rnacentral:rRNA from 1 species
AACGAACGCUGGCGGCAGGCCUAAUACAUGCAAGUCGAACGGGCGUAGCAAUACGUCAGUGGCGGACGGGUGAGUAACACGUGGGAACAUGCCUUUCGGUUCGGAAUAACGCAGGGAAACUUGCGCUAAUACCGGAUGACCCGGCGACGGAAAAGAUUUAUCGCCGAAAGAUUGGCCCGCGUAGGAUUAGCUAGUUGGUGAGGUAACGGCCCACCAAGGCGACGAUCCUUAGCUGGUUUGAGAGAACGAUCAGCCACACUGGGAC